UCCGGAGGGGACUAGCGUUGUUCGGAAUUACUGGGCGUAAAGCGCGCGUAGGCGGAUUUGUAAGUCGGGGGUGAAAUCCCGGGGCUCAACCUCGGAACUGCCUUCGAUACUGCAAAUCUCGAGUCCGGAAGAGGUGAGUGGAAUUCCUAGUGUAGAGGUGAAAUUCGUAGAUAUUAGGAAGAACACCAGUGGCGAAGGCGGCUCACUGGUCCGGUACUGACGCUGAGGCGCGAAAGCGUGGGGAGAAAACAGG
rnacentral:rRNA from 1 species